AAAUGAAUAGACGGGGGCCCGCACAAGCGGAGGAACAUGUGGUUUAAUUCGAUGAUACGCGAGGAACCUUACCUGGGCUCGAACGCGGGGGGAAUGCCGGGGAAACCCGGCAGCCGGCAACGGCCGCCCGCGAGGUGCUGCAUGGUUGUCGUCAGCUCGUGCCGUGAGGUGUCGGGUUAAGUCCCAUAACGAGCGCAACCCCUACCGCCAGUUGCCAGCGGGUGAAGCCGGGGACUCUGGCGGGACUGCCGGCGUAAGCCGAGAGGAAGGCGGGGAUGACGUCAAAUCAGCACGGCCCUUACGUCCAGGGCUACACACGUGUUACAAUGGCCGGUACAGAGGGAGGCGACCCCGCGAGGGGGAGCGGAUCCCGAAAGCCGGUCGUAGUUCGGAUCGGGGUCUGGAACCCGACCCCGUGAAGCCGGAUUCGCUAGUAAUCGCGCAUCAGCCAUGGCGCGGUGAAUACGUUCCCGGGCCUUGUACACACCGCCCGU
rnacentral:rRNA from 1 species